rnacentral:rRNA from 1 species
UUUAGUAAUUGCGAAUGAACAAGGAUAUGCUUAGCUUGACAAAUGGAGCUAUUGGCUUUGAAUUGUAUUGUGGAAAUGUAUUACCAACAGAGGUGCAGGUGCCAGCCUAUUGAAAUAAAGCGUCAAUGAGGGUGAGAAUCCUGUUUGUCAUGUGCAGCCCUUUGUGCACGGUGUAUAUUUGCUGAGUCACACUCCUUGGCAUUGGAAUGCAAAGUGGGUGGUAAGUUUCAUGUAAAGGUAAACAUGCAAUUGAGACUGAUAGCACACAAGUACCAUGAGGGAAAUAUGAAAAGGACUUUGAAAAGAGAAUUAAAUGAGUUUGUAUUUGCUGAACACAAAGUAAACAGACUUGAUUUGCUUGGUGGGAGUGUUGCACUUGCUUGACAAGAGCUUUGGGCUGUGGGUGUAAUGAUUCUUUCUUUGCAUGCCAGUUUCUAUUUGUACAUCUGAUUACCUUUGCACAUGAAUGAUAAGUCUCCUGUGGGGGGUGGAUUGCAUGUGCAUGUAAUGAUUUGUGUUUUGAUAAAUGUGUCUGGUGUAUGUGUGUGUUCCUGUGCUUGGGGAUGCUUCCUUCCUUGGACUUACAAGCCCUGACACACACAUGCUGGCAAAAUGCUUCUGCUUGACCCGUCUUGAAACACGGACCAAGGAGUCUAACAGAUGUGCAAAGUUUGAAGGUGGUAUACCUUUGUGUGCAAUGAAAGUGUCAGCUGGGAUAUGUGCACCAGCACCCAAUUAAUUAGCGGACAGAGGUUUGAGUUGGAGCAUAUCUAUUAGGACCCGAAAGAUGGUGAACUAUGCCUGAACAGAAUGAAUUCAGAGGAAACUCUGAUGGAGGUUCGUAUCGAUACUGACGUGCAAAUCGUUCGUCAUAUUUGGGUAUAGGGGCGAAAGACUAAUCGAACCAUCUAGUAGCUGGUUCCCUCCGAAGUUUCCCUCAGGAUAGCUGGAGUUGCUCAGUUUUAUCAGGUAAAGCGAAUGAUUAGAGGAAUUGGGGACAGGUUUGUCUUUGACCUAUUCUCAAACUUUAAAUGGGUAAUAUGUAGUGGUUGCUGUAUGGAACUUCUAAGAUAAAUGGCAAUAUUGGGUGGGCCAUUUUUGGUAAGCAGAACUGGCGAUGAGGG